rnacentral:rRNA from 1 species
AUUGAACGCUGGCGGCAGGCCUAACACAUGCAAGUCGAACGAGUGGCGGACGGGUGAGUAAUGUCUGUGAAACUGCCUGAUGGAGGGGGAUAACUCCUGGAAACGGUAGCUAAUCCCGCAUACCAUCGGAUGUUCCCAGAUGGGUUUAGCUAGUAGGUGGGGUAAAGGCUCACCUAGGCGAAGAUCCCUAGCUGGUCUGAGAGGAUGACCAGCCACACUGGAACUGAGACACGGUCCAGACUCCUACGGGAGGCAGCAGUGGGGAAUAUUGGACAAUGGGCGCAAGCCUGAUGCAGCCAUGCCGCGUGUAUGAAGAAGGCCUUCGGGUUGUAAAGUACUUUCAGCGGGGAGGCGGUACCCGCAGAAGAAGCACCGGCUAACUCCGUGCCAGCAGCCGCGGUAAUAC